GAUGAACGCUGGCGGCGUGCUUAACACAUGCAAGUCGAACGAGAAGUGGAGACGGAAACCUUCGGGCGGAAGACUUUAUUUCGAGUGGCGGACGGGUGAGUAACGCGUGGGUAACCUGCCUCAUACAGGGGGAUAACAGUUGGAAACGACUGUUAAUACCGCAUAAGACCACAGCACCGCAUGGUGCGGGGGUAAAAACUCCGGUGGUAUGAGAUGGACCCGCGUUCGAUUAGCCAGUUGGCGGGGUAACGGCCCACCAAAGCGACGAUCGAUAGCCGAUCUGAGAGUAUGACCGGCCACAUUGGGACUGAGACACGGCCCAAACUCCUACGGGAGGCAGCAGUGGGGAAUAUUGCACAAUGGGGGAAACCCUGAUGCAGCGACGCCGCGUGAGUGAAGAAGUAUUUCGGUAUGUAAAGCUCUAUCAGCAGGGAAGAAAAUGACGGUACCUGAGUAAGAAGCCCCGGCUAACUACGUG
rnacentral:rRNA from 1 species